CUUCUCUAGGGCAAGCUGCCAGCACGGAUCACGGUGCCCCUGUCGGUGAUCAGCCAGCCCGUGAAAGGCAAGAGCGUGGUGACUGCCCCCAUCAUCAAGGGCAACCUUGGGGCCAACAUCAGUGGGUUGGGCAGAAAUAUCAUCCUGACCACGAUGCCAGCAGGGACAAAACUCAUCGCUGGGAACAAGCCAGUGAGUUUUCUGACUGCACAGCAACUGCAGCAGCUGCAGCAGCAAGGCCAGGCCACGCAGGUUCGAAUUCAAACUGUCCCAGCCUCCCACCUCCAGCAGGGCACGGUGUCUGGCUCCACUAAAGCGGUUUCCACUGUGGUUGUGACGACAGCUCCGUCUCCAAAGCAGACCCAAGAUCAGCUGUAAACACUGGUUUGGACACAGAUGGCUUUCCAAGAACUUCCCUCAGCCCGUGGUCGUCCUCCAUCCAAGCCCCCAAGACUCCCUAACCCCAGUCCUGGCCUGGGAUUGGACUGGAUUCUGUCCCGUUGCUUGUCUGGAGUCAGCAUUGUGAUGUCUAGGUAGAAAUUCCUACAAAACAGAAUGUUUCAGUCCAGAUGUGUAAAAGCCCAGUUCUGUGGCGUUGAGGGUUGUGAGAAAUGUCUUCCUUUUCUUUCUUCUCUUCCCAUCCAGAGGGCUUUUGGCGAAUAUAAUUUCUGUGCAUUUUGGGUUGUAGGCAAAGCAGUUGAUCUUGGGUCUUCCUUAAGCAGGGAAACUUGCUUGGAAGAGGUGAUUCUCAAAGUCCUGAAGAAGAUGCCUCCUUUUGCUGGAGUCGAGCAGUCCCUUUCCAUACUUUUCUAUGUAUGAUUUAGGACGGUGGCUUGGACACCAGAGUUUGUUUGUAACAUAGCCUGGAAGUAGAUCCCCGACACGUUCAGUGUCCUAUUUAUAGACUUUUUAAAUACCUCUCCCCCAUCUCUGAGCUCUUUGGGACAAACACCGCUCCCGUGUCAAAUUUCUGGCAAAGGCAGGAUGAGAGAAAAGACGGUUUUUGCUAAAAAAUAUCUGGUGACCGUGGGGAAGAGUGAGAAGAAGAGAUGCAGAAGGUCUCUGUGUGUCAACAUACUGGACAGGAAAAAGCAACUGUUCACCAAGAGGAUCCUCCUGUAGUUUUCCUCAACAAAUAAACCUUUUUAUCGGUCAAAAAAAAGACUAGCUUCUUUUAAAAGUUUGGAAUAUGUUUUCAAAUAACUCCCCCGCUGUAUAAUCUCUUGGACUCGGAAGGAGGAUUUUAACCUGUGAUCCUGGCCUUGAGUUUUGUUUUCACCUUUGCAGUUUUAUCUCUCUCUAUGUAAACUUGUUUGAAUUUUGCACAUACCAGAGAUGAAUUCCUGGCUGUUGUGACACGGCCUCGGAGCUUUCUCGGAAUGAGAUGAGAAGAGGUGGUGGAUCAGGAGAAAAAUAAAAGGGCAGAAAACCUUAAACCUCUCUCUUCCAUCUCCUUUUGGUUUUGUACAGCCUGUUUUGUGUUGUCCAGCUUGCCAAGGGCUAAUAGAUGGUCCAUCUUCUUUGCAAGAUGGGUCUUUUUAACCUGG